CCAUUAUUUGUCAGCAUGAAAUAUUAAUACAUAUAUAAUAUUGCCAAAACUAGUCUACGAAGAUAAUUUUUUGAAAAAUUUUGAAAAACAUAAAGAAUAUCAUGGCUAUGUAGAUUACUGGAGUAAUAUGCAAAGCCAUUGUAUGCGAUGGGUGUGCUGUUAAUAAAAAAAUGGGUAAAUUGCUUGGCGUUAGUAUGGAUCCUGAUAAUAUUAUUCCAUAUAUUGAGCAGGAAAGCCAUGACUCAGAAAAAAUAUAUAUUAAAAUUUAAUGUAUAAGGAAUGACCAGAUAUUAGGUGAUGAUAUAAUCAAAAAUGACGAAAAUAUACUCAAAAAUAAUAUAAAGUGAACUGUUGCAAUAUAAUUUCCUUUUCAAGGCCUAUACAUUUAUAUCA